rnacentral:rRNA from 1 species
GUUGCUAACAGGAGAGCUGAGCACUCUGGCGAGACUGCCGCCGACAAGGCGGAGGAAGUGGGGAUGACGUCAAGUCAUCAUGGCCUUUAUGCCCAGGGCUACACACGUGCUACAAUGGCCGGCACAGACGGCAGCUUAGUGGCGACACUUGGCAAAUCCUCUAAAGCCGGUCCCAGUUCGGAUUGCAGUCUGCAACUCGACUGCAUGAAGCCGGAAUCGCUAGUAAUCGCAGAUCAGCCAAGCUGCGGUGAAUACGUUCCCGGGCCUU